UACGUAGGGGGCAAGCGUUGUCCGGAUUUAUUGGGCGUAAAGAGCGUGUAGGCGGCCGCACAGGUCCGUUGUGAAAACUGGAGGCUUAACCUUCAGACGUCGAUGGAAACCGUGCGGCUAGAGUCCGGAAGAGGAGAAUGGAAUUCCUGGUGUAGCGGUGAAAUGCGCAGAUAUCAGGAGGAACACCAAUUGCGAAGGCAGCUCGCUGGGACGUUACUGACGCUGAGACGCGAAAGCGUGGGGGAGCAAACAGG
rnacentral:rRNA from 1 species